UCGCAUCUCACAGAUGGACACGAGGAAUGACUGGGGCCGAGAGGAAGAGCUUUCCCCUGCUCUUGGACUGGAGCCACCCCCUCCUUUGCCCCCCCCCCCCAGAUCACUCCCACAAGCCAGGAUUGGGAUCAUCUGGGGAUGACCCCCUGGCUUAGCCUGCUCCUCUGAUUUCCUCAGAGUUGAAACCACCCAAGAAUGAGGUCUUUGGUGUCUCUGAGCCCCCCACAGCCCCUCAGGAGCUUCCUGAGUCCGUGAGACCAUCUGCCCCGCCAGCUGAACUGGACGUGCCGACCUCAGAGUGUGUUGUGUGCCUGGAACGUGAGGCCCAGAUGGUCUUCCUCACCUGCGGCCAUGUCUGCUGCUGCCAGCAGUGCUGCCAGCCGCUGCGCACCUGCCCACUGUGCC
rnacentral:lncRNA from 1 species